rnacentral:rRNA from 1 species
GACGAACGCUGGCGGCGUGCUUAACACAUGCAAGUCGAACGGAAAGGCCCCUUCGGGGGUACUCGAGUGGCGAACGGGUGAGUAACACGUGAGUAACCUGCCCUUGACUUCGGGAUAACUUCAGGAAACUGGGGCUAAUACCGGAUAGGAAUCCUUGCUGCAUGGUGGGGGUUGGAAAGCUUCGGCGGUUUUGGAUGGACUCGCGGCUUAUCAGCUUGUUGGUGGGGUAGUGGCUUACCAAGGCUUUGACGGGUAGCCGGCCUGAGAGGGCGACCUGCCACAUUGGGACUGAGAUACGGCCCAGACUCCUACGGGAGGCAGCAGUGGGGAAUAUUGCACAAUGGGCGGAAGCCUGAUGCAGCAACGCCGCGUGCGGGAUGACGGCCUUCGGGUUGUAAACCGCUUUCAGCAGGGGCGAAGCUUGUGGUGACGGUACCUGCAGAAGAAGCACCGGCUAACUACGUG